rnacentral:siRNA from 1 species
AGCGGUUGGACAGUUGGCGGUUGG